rnacentral:rRNA from 1 species
CCGAGUUGUAAUUUGUAGAGAAUGCUUCGGGCGAGGUCCGGUCUAAGUUCCUUGGAACAGGACGUCAUAGAGGGUGAGAAUCCCGUAUGCGACCGGGUGCCUUUGUCCAUGUGAAGCUUCUUCGACGAGUCGAGUUGUUUGGGAAUGCAGCUCAAAAUGGGUGGUAAAUUUCAUCUAAAGCUAAAUACUGGCCAGAGACCGAUAGCGCACAAGUAGAGUGAUCGAAAGAUGAAAAGCACUUUGGAAAGAGAGUUAAACAGUACGUGAAAUUGUUGAAAGGGAAGCGCUUGCAACCAGACUUGCGCGUAGCCGAUCAUCCGGUGUUCUCACCGGUGCACUCGGUUGCGCUCAGGCCAGCAUCGGUUCGGUGGUUGGAUAA